UACGUAGGGAGCAAGCGUUGUCCGGAAUCAUUGGGCGUAAAGCGCGCGUAGGCGGCCCGAUAAGUCUGCUGUGAAAGUCCAGGGCUCAACCCUGGAAUGCCGGUGGAUACUGUCGGGCUAGAGUUCGGAAGAGGCAAGUGGAAUUCCUGGUGUAGCGGUGGAAUGCGCAGAUAUCAGGAGGAACACCUAUAGCGAAGGCAGCUUGCUGGGACGACACUGACGCUAAGGCGCGAAAGCGUGGGGAGCGAACAGG
rnacentral:rRNA from 1 species